rnacentral:rRNA from 1 species
AUUGAACGCUGGCGGCAGGCCUAACACAUGCAAGUCGAACGAGUGGCGGACGGGUGAGUAAUGUCUGGGAAACUGCCUGAUGGAGGGGGAUAACUACUGGAAACGGUAGCUAAUACCGCAUACCAUCGGAUGUGCCCAGAUGGGAUUAGCUAGUAGGUGGGGUAAAGACUCACCUAGGCGACGAUCCCUAGCUGGUCUGAGAGGAUGACCAGCCACACGGAAACUGAGACACUGUCCAGAGUCCUACGGGUGGCGGCAGUGGGGAAUAUUGCACAAUGGGCGCAAGCUUGAUCCCGCCUUGCCGCGUGUGUGAUGAAGGUCUUCGGAUUGUAAGGCACUUUAAGUUGGGUGGCGUUACCAACAGAAUAAGCACCGACUAACUUCGUGCCGGCAGCCGCGGUAAUAC